AGUGAACGCUGGCGGUAGGCCUAACACAUGCAAGUCGAACGGCAGCACAGUAAGAGCUUGCUCUUACGGGUGGCGAGUGGCGGACGGGUGAGGAAUACAUCGGAAUCUACUUUUUCGUGGGGGAUAACGUAGGGAAACUUACGCUAAUACCGCAUACGACCUACGGGUGAAAGCAGGGGAUCUUCGGACCUUGCGCGAUUGAAUGAGCCGAUGUCGGAUUAGCUAGUUGGCGGGGUAAAGGCCCACCAAGGCGACGAUACGUAGCUGGUCUGAGGGGAUGAUCAGCCACACUGGAACUGAGACACGGUCCAGACUCCUACGGGAGGCAGCAGUGGGGAAUAUUGGACAAUGGGCGCAAGCCUGAUCCAGCCAUACCGCGUGGGUGAAGAAGGCCUUCGGGUUGUAAAGCCCUUUUGUUGGGAAAGAAAAGCAGCAGGUUAAUACCCCGCUGUUCUGACGGUACCCAAAGAAUAAGCACCGGCUAACUUCGUG
rnacentral:rRNA from 1 species